rnacentral:ncRNA from 1 species
AUAAACAUUUGGAAGUAGUAGGUGUAUGAUCCUUUUAGAGAGCGCAUGGUCGCUGGAAAUGCGUAGGUUAAGUUACUGAACUCGUCCAUAUUCUUGCAAGGGUCAAGACCAUCUAGCCUUUGCCGUAGACUAGCGUUAAUAGUUUAGAGAAGGUGGGAAAGCCAAUUUUCCCACUAAAAUAGGUGGUACCGCGAGAAUGUAUAAACGCCCUAUGG